AGUGAACGCUGGCGGUAGGCCCAACACAUGCAAGUCGAACGGCAGCACAGUAAGAGCUUGCUCUUACGGGUGGCGAGUGGCGGACGGGUGAGGAAUACAUCGGAAUCUACUUUUUCGUGGGGGAUAACGUAGGGAAACUUACGCUAAUACCGCAUACGACCUACGGGUGAAAGCAGGGGAUCUUCGGACCUUGCGCGAUUGAAUGAGCGAUGUCGGAUUAGCUAGUUGGCGGGGUAAAGGCCCACCAAGGCGACGAUCCGUAGCUGGUCUGAGAGGAUGAUCAGCCACACUGGAACUGGGACACGGUCCAGACUCCUACGGGAGGCAGCAGUGGCGAAUAUUGGACAAUGGGCGCAAGCCUGAUACAGCCAUCCCGCGUGGGUGAAGAAGGCCUUCGGGUUGUAAAGCCCUUUUGUUGGGAAAGAACAGCAGCAGGUUAAUACCCCGCUGUUCUGACGGUACCCAAAGAAUAAGCACCGGCUAACUUCGUG
rnacentral:rRNA from 1 species